rnacentral:rRNA from 1 species
AUUGAACGCUGGCGGCAGGCCUAACACAUGCAAGUCGAGCGAGAGGCGGACGGGUGAGUAAUAUAUGGGGACUGCCCGUUAGAGGGGGAUAACUACUGGAAACGGUGGCUAAUACCGCGUACGCUAGGGUAACCCAUAUGGGAUUAGCUCGUAGGUAGGGUAAUGGCUUACCUAGCCGACGAUCCCUAGCUGGUCUGAGAGGAUGAUCAGCUACACUGGGACGGAGACACGGCCCAGAUUCCUACGGAGGCAGCAGUGGGGAAUAUUGCACAAUGGGCGAAAGCCUGAUGCAGCCAUGCCGCGUGUAUGAAGAAGGCCUUAGGGUUGUAAAGUACUUUCAGUCGGGAGGCGGUACCGACAGAAGAAGCACCGGCUAACUCCGUGCCAGCAGCCGCGGUAAUUC